rnacentral:rRNA from 1 species
AUUGAACGCUGGCGGCAGGCCUAACACAUGCAAGUCGAGCGGCUCGGCGGACGGGUGAGUAAUGCCUAGGAAUCUGACUGGUAGUGGGGGAUAACGUUCGGAACCGGGCGCUAAUACCACAUACUCUUACCUGAGCCUAGGUCGGAUUAGCUAGUUGGUGGGGUAAAGGCAUACCAAGGCGACGAUCCGUAACUGGUCUGAGAGGAUGAUCAGUCACACUGGAACUGAGACACGGUCCAGACUCCUACGGGAGGCAGCAGUGGGGAAUAUUGGACAAUGGGCGAAAGCCUGAUGCAGCCAUGCCGCGUGUGUGAAGAAGGUCUUCGGAUUGUAAAGCACUUUAAGUUGGGAGGCGUUACCAACAGAAGAAGCACCGGCUAACUCCGUGCCAGCAGCCGCGGUAAUAC